UUUGGAGUUUGUACUUAAUUAAUUUUAAUUUAUCAUUAAUAUUAAUUAUAUCAUUUCAUUUCAUUGCCUUUAUAUAAAAGAGUAAAUAUUGGCUCUACUGUUCAUUUUUCUGCCCUCCGAUUCACACUGAAACUGGUUCUUUAAUGUUCAUUAUCUGGUUAUUCAAGAGGAUAUAGAUAUUUUACAUAAAGAGCAUGUUGCUUUCUUUUUCUUCAUUCAUUCUCUCUUGCUUUUUCACAAGUUUCUUUCUCGACAAACCGAGCCAAAGCAAGCCCUAAGAAGGAGAGCAAAGGUAAGAUUCAAACUAAUUACUGGAAUCGACCUUCAAUUUUUUCCAAUCCUGUAAAUUUCUUUAAUUUCUUGAUCACUUCUGCAGAUCCUGUGAAAAUUUUUCCCUUUUUAUGAAAGUUUAAUUAAAAUUUCAAACAAAGGCACGAGAGAAAAUCGAACUAUUUUCAGUUCAAGUAAAGAUCUUGGAACAAUAAUACACGACAAUAGCAAAAAGGUCUUAUGAGGAUUCAUAGGUAUUCUAGGGAAAAUUUCGGGGGUUAUCUCUAGAUUUUAGAGAGGACGAACGAAUUUUUUUUGGUCUUUCUUAUUUACUAGAAGAUAAUUGACGGUAGUUUCUAUUGCAGAGAUAGAAUCUUGAUAUGGUGGAUAUCAAGUGUUCUGAGGUAAUCGAUUCUGGCUCUGUAAUUAUAUUUAGCUAAAAGGGUGUGUAAUUAAGGGAAAAAUCUUGGUGGAUUAUGUAAAUACGGAAAGGAGAGAGAUUCUCUCAAUUUCUGCUGCUUGAAAUUCUUCAAAUAAUAUUGCCAGAAUCUGGAUAGUUUUCAUUUUAUUUGCAUCAAAGGCCUGUUGAAAGAAUUUUGUAUGUUUGCUUUAGAAUUUGAAUUUUUCAGUCCUUGGUUUGAAAGGGUGGUCACAACAUUAUAGAAGAAGAGACCAAUGCAUUUAAAGUUGGGUACACGAAAAGGUUGGAGAAAUUCUAGACAAGAUAAGAUAUAUAGGGUUUUGAUACCUUCAAUGAAGUAAGUGGAGUGAAAAUAGGUACAACGAUUUUACGUUCUUUGACAGGUGAUAAUCCAGAAUUGCAAAAGCAAACAGGACAGCAUUACAGAAGAAAAGCCAGUGCAUUGGAAGUUGGGUAUACGAAAAGGUUGGAGAAAUUCUAGACAAGACAUUUGGGAUUUUGAUACCUUCAUUGAAGUGAGGGGAGUGAAAAUGGCUAAAAAGAUUUUACAUUCUUUGAUAGGUGAUAAUCCAAAAUUCCAAAAGCAAACAUGAUAUAUGGCAAUCAUCUUUCAACUGUUCGAUCAUCGGCCUAUUCUUACUGGGAGGUACAUCGUUGGCCACAGCACAGAGAGGCUGCCUCCUCGUACAUAUUUCUCA
rnacentral:lncRNA from 1 species